AAUCGAUAAUCCACGAUUCACCCAACCAUCCUUUGCCAACACAGCCUACAUACCGCCAUCUUCAGCAAACAA
rnacentral:rRNA from 1 species